rnacentral:rRNA from 1 species
GAUGAACGCUGGCGGCGUGCUUAACACAUGCAAGUCGAACGGUGAAGCUCCAGCUUGCUGGAGUGGAUCAGUGGCGAACGGGUGAGUAACACGUGAGCAACCUGCCCCUGACUCUGGGAUAACAGCCGGAAACGGCUGCUAAUACCGGAUAUGCACCAUGAACGCAUGUUCUGUGGUGGGAAAGAUUUUUCGGUUGGGGAUGGUCUCGCGGCCUAUCAGCUUGUUGGUGAGGUAAUGGCUCACCAAGGCGUCGACGGGUAGCCGGCCUGAGAGGGUGACCGGCCACACUGGGACUGAGACACGGCCCAGACUCCUCCGGGAGGCAGCAGUGGGGAAUAUUGCACAAUGGGCGAAAGCCUGAUGCAGCAACGCCGCGUGAGGGAUGACGGCCUUCGGGUUGUAAACCUCUUUUAGCAGGGAAGAAGCGAGAGUGACGGUACCUGCAGAAAAAGCGCCGGCUAACUACGUG